rnacentral:rRNA from 1 species
AACGAACGCUGGCGGCAUGCCUAACACAUGCAAGUCGAACGAGACCUCCGGGUCUAGUGGCGCACGGGUGCGUAACGCGUGGGAACCUGCCCUUAGGUUCGGAAUAACUCCCCGACAGGGGUGCUAAUACCGGAUAAUGUCCUCGGACCAAAGAUUUAUCGACUUUGGAUGGGCCCGCGUUGGUUUAGCCAGUUGGUAGGGUAAAAGCCUACCAAGGCGACGAUCCAUAGCUGGUCUGAGAGGAUGGUCAGCCACACUGGGACUGAGACACGGCCCAGACUCCUACGGGAGGCAGCAGUGGGGAAUAUUGGACUAUGGGCGAAAGCCUGAUCCAGCAAGGCCGCGUGAGUGAUGAAGGCCUUAGGGUUGUAAAGCUCUUUUACCCGGGAUGAUAAUGACAGUACCGGGAGAAUAAGCUCCGGCUAACUCCGUG